UUCAGUGAAUCAUCGAAGUCUUUGAACGCACAUUGCGCCCCCUGGUAUUCCGGGGGGCAUGCCUGUCCGAGCGUCAUU
rnacentral:rRNA from 1 species